UACGUAGGUGGCAAGCGUUGUUCGGAAUUAUUGGGCGUAAAGGGCGCGUAGGCGGUUUGUUAAGUCAGCUGUGAAAGCCCGGGGCUCAACCCCGGAGAGUCGACUGAUACUGGCAAACUAGAGUACGGAAGAGGUAGCUGGAAUUCCCGGUGUAGCGGUGAAAUGCGCAGAUAUCAGGAGGAACACCGAUGGCGAAGGCAGGUCUCUGGGCCAUAACUGACGCUGAGAAGCGAAAGCAUGGGGAGCGAACAGG
rnacentral:rRNA from 1 species